rnacentral:lncRNA from 1 species
UUGCAGUUUUUGCCUCUUGUGUUCUUGGGAGGAUAUUCCCUUCGGUACCGUCGUGGUUACACCCUUCAUACAUGUCAUACCAGCCAGUUCCUAGAACACAAAAGAUGUCCAAAGCUAAGAUGCAAACCAAUCAAGAUCAUAAAAAAAUUGGUGACCUUUCAUUAACUUUGGAGAAGCUUUAUGUGUGGGAAAAGAAACUUUAUGAAGAAGUGUUGGUAAAUAAUUACUUAUAUUUAAAAUAUAUAGAUAUAGAUAUGACUUGUUUCUGAUAGUUUAAACACUUGUAGUUGAUUUUUAUUUUAAUUUUAUUUUUCCUAAACAAUUUUGAUGACAGGGUGAAGAAAAACUUAGAAUUCUCUAUGAUAAGCUGCACAAGAGGCUAAAAAAGUUGGAUAUGAAAGGUUCCGAGUCAGAUAAGAUUGAUGAUACUCUUUAUUCUAUUAAACUUGUAGAUUCAGAAAUUAGUGUAGCUGUUACUUCAAUCAGUGUGAUAUCAAGAGAGAUCAAUGUGUUAACAGAUGCUAAGUUGCUUCCUGAACUCAAUAAAUUGAUUGAUGGGUAUGUUACUUAACUUGCCAUAUUUCUUUUAUUAUUUACAUGUACUAUGCAGUCCUUUCUCUUAUGUUACUAAAGUAAUAACAGUUACUGCUGCUAAAUAACAGUAUUAUUAAUGAAACUAUUGAAGGAUUCUAGAUUAAAUGUAAAAGAGGCAUGGAAUAUACUUUGAUAGUUUCAUUUUAUAGUGCAUGUUUCGAUUGACAGUGAGUAUGUUUAGAUUGAAUUAUUUUUAUCUACGUCAUAAGUACUUGUGAGAUUGCUUUGGAGAAUUUAUGAAAACAGUUUAUGACAUUUCCAUGAGCUGUGUUUUCAGCUGAUUUCCAUAAGUUCCCAACGAUGGCUUAUGAAAAACAACUUAUAUAGAAGUUAAUUUGACUUUAUUUUAUCUUUUGGUGUAGAAAUAGUUUACAGAUAAACAUUUAUAUCAUGAGGCUUAUUCUAUAAUUACUUAAUUAAGAUGUUUAUCGAAAUAAGACCGUUGUUGAAGCUCUAAAAUGUAGAUUUGGCUAAAAUCUACAUUGUCAAAUAUCAUUGUCAACCCAAACAUGCAUAUAUGUAACAUAUUUUUAAGUUAAAGAAUAGAAAAGACUUUUGCUUCCAUUGAAAUAUUUCUAUUUGAUUAUGAUAUUUUCUAAUUAUAUAUACACUGCAUCACUUUUAUAGCUUACUUGAAUUGUGGAAGACCAUGAGCACAUGUCACCAGAAACAAUUCCAAGCUAUCAACAAGGUCAUAAGUCAUGUACAUAUAUUAGAUCCUGCAAAAAAGAAAAAAUCAAGCAUCAAAGCUACUUUGAAAUUAGAAAAAGUGAUUUUGAACUGGGGUAUGUCCUUCAGUAAUUUCAUCAAGAAACAGAAGACCCUAGUGAAAUACUUGAAUGAUUGGCUACAAAAGUGUGCUCCCCAAGAAACAGAAGAAUCUGAAGAUGGACUAGAAACUCCUCCUAUUUUUGGAGUUUGUAACAAUUGGUACAAUGAAAUAAUGAAGGUUUCAGCAAUUGAAGUGUCUAAAGCCAUCACUAAGUUUUCAUCAGACUUACAUCACUUAUAUGAGAAGCUAAAAGAGGAAAAGGCGCAGAAAGUUAGAGUGAAAUCUCUUUUUAAGGAUUACAAGAAAAGGCUUAGAUCCUU